AGGGCGCCUGAGUCGGCAGUGGCAGACGCGAAACCAAGUGAUCUACCCUUGACCAGGUUGAAGGCUGGGUAACACCAGCUGGAGGACCGAACCAAUAAGCGUUGAAAAGCUUCUGGAUGAGUUGAGGGUAGGGGUGAAAGGCUAAUCAAACUUGGAGAUAGCUCGUACUCCCCGAAAUGCAUUUAGGUGCAGCCUUGCGGGUUACUGAUGUGAGGUAGAGCGACUGAUAAGAUGCGAGGGCUUCACCGCCUAUCAAGUCUUGACAAACUCCGAAUGCGCAUCAGUCCUACCGCAGGAGUGAGGGCAUGGGUGCUAAGGUCCGUGCCCGAGAGGAGAAGAAUCCGGACCACCUGCUAAGGUCCCGAAAUGACAGCUAAGUUAAACUAACGAAGUCGGACUGCCAUGACAGCUAGGAUGUUGGCUUGGAAGCAGCCAUUCAUUUAAAGAGUGCGUAACAGCUCACUAGUCGAGGAGUCCGGCGUGGAUAAUAAUCGGGUAUUAAGUUGUCUACCGAAGCAGUGGGAUCAUGUAAAUGAUCGGUAGGGGAGCAUUCCACCCGGCGUCGAAGGCGUACCGUGAGGUAUUCUGGAGCGUGUGGAAAAGCAAAUGUAGGUAUAAGUAACGAUAAAGCAGGUGAGAAACCUGCUCGCCGCAAGACCAAGGUUUCCUGAUCAACGCUAAUCGGAUCAGGGUCAGUCGGGUCCUAAGGCUCAGCCGAACGGCGAGGCCGAUGGCAGAAACGGUUAAUAUUCCGUUACUACCUUUACGGGCGAUGUGGAGACGCAGAAGUGACAGUGCCGCCAUCUGACGGAAUAGAUGGUUGAAGGGUGUAGAAGCUGAUCGUGGCAGGCAAAUCCACCACGUGAUUCGAACCUGACAGUAUGCCGCGUCCUCCGGGACAAGGCAAUAGUGCACGUAAUCAUACUGCCGAGAAAAUCCGCUAAGCUAUACCGUAAAGGUACCCGUACCGUAAACGGACACACGUGGUCGGGAUGAAUAUUCUAAGGCGCUUGAGUGAUUCACGGUUAAGGAACUAGGCAAACUGACCCUGUAACUUCGGGAUAAAGGGUCCCUCCUCGCAAGAGAGGGCGCAGAGAAUAGGUCCAGGCAACUGUUUAACAAAAACACAGGGCUGUGCAAAAUCGAAAGAUCCGGUAUACAGCCUGACACCUGCCCGGUGCUGGAAGGUUAAGAGGAGACGUCAUCGCAAGAGAAGCGUUGAAUUGAAGCCCCAGUAAACGGCGGCCGUAACUAUAACGGUCCUAAGGUAGCGAAAUUCCUUGUCGGGUAAGUUCCGACCUGCACGAAUGGUGUAAUGAUCUGGACGCUGUCUCAACCGUGAGCUCAGUGAAAUUGUAGUAUCGGUGAAGAUGCCGAUUACCCGCGAUGGGACGAAAAGACCCCGUGAACCUUUACUAUAGCUUAUCAUUGAAUUUGGGCACGUGAUGUGUAGGAUAGGUCGGAGGCUUUGAAGCAGGUACGCCAGUAUUUGUGGAGCCGCUGUUGAAAUACGACCCUUCAUUUGUUUGAGUUCUAACUCGUGAUGCGAGGACACUGAUUGGUGGGUAGUUUGACUGGGGUGGUCGCCUCCAAAAGUGUAACGGAGGCUUCUAAAGGUGCCCUCACGGCGAUUGGUAACCGCCGGCAGAGUGUAAUGGCAUAAGGGCGCUUGACUGGGAGACUCACAAGUCGAGCAGGUAGGAAACUAGAGCAUAGUGAUCCGGUGUUUCCGUAUGGAAGGGACAUCGCUCAAAGGAUAAAAGGUACUCCGGGGAUAACAGGCUGAUCCCUCCCAAGAGCUCAUAUCGACGGAGUGGUUUGGCACCUCGAUGUCGGCUCGUCACAUCCUGGGGCUGGAGAAGGUCCCAAGGGUUGGGCUGUUCGCCCAUUAAAGUGGCACGCGAGCUGGGUUCAGAACGUCGUGAGACAGUUCGGUCUCUAUCUAUCGUGGGCGUAUGAAAUUUGCGUGGCUCUGACACUAGUACGAGAGGACCGUGUUGGACUGACCUCUGGUUUACCGGUUGUGCCGCCAGGUGCAUCGCCGGGUAUCCAAGUCGGGAUCGGAUAAGUGCUGAAAGCAUCUAAGUACGAAGCCGGCCACAAGAUUAGAUUUCUCAGGGUCGUUGCAGACGACGACGUUGAUAGGAUGCAGGUGUAAAGAUGGAGACAUCAAAGCCGAGCAUUACUAAUUGCCCGUCCACUUUCUUUA
rnacentral:rRNA from 2 species